rnacentral:lncRNA from 1 species
ACCGGCUCUAGGAUCCCAAGGCCCAACUCCCCGAACCACUCAGGGUCCUGUGGACAGCUCACCUAGCGGCAAUGGCUGCAGGUAAGCGCCCCUAAAAUCCCUUUGGGCACAACGUGUCCUGAGGGGAGAGGCAGCGCCCUGUAGAUGGGACGGGGGCACUAACCCUCAGGUUUGGGGCUUAUGAAUGUGAGUAUCGCCAUCUAAGGCCAGAUAUUUGGCCAAUCUCUGAAUGUUCCUGGUCUCUGGAGGGAUGGAGAGAGAGAAAAAAACAAACAGCUCCUGGAGCAGGGAGAGCGCUGGCCUCUUCCUCUCCGGCUCCCUCCAUUGCCCUCCGGUUUCUCCCCAGGCUCCCGGACGUCCCUGCUCCUGGCUUUUGCCCUGCUCUGCCUGCCCUGGCUUCAAGAGGCUGGUGCCGUCCAAACCGUUCCGUUAUCCAGGCUUUUUGACCACGCUAUGCUCCAAGCCCAUCGCGCGCACCAGCUGGCCAUUGACACCUACCAGGAGUUUGUAAGUUCUUGGGGAAUGGGUGCGGGUCAGGGGUGGCAAGAAGGGGUGACUUUCCCCCACUGGGGAAGUAAUGGGAGGAGACUAAGGAGCUCAGGGUUGUUUUCUGAAGCGAAAAUGCAGGCAGAUGAGCAUAGGCUGAGCCAGGUUCCCAGAAAAGCAACAAUGGGAGCUGGUCUCCAGCAUAGAAACCAGCAGUCCUUCUUGGUGGGGGGUCCUUCUCCUAGGAAGAAACCUAUAUCCCAAAGGACCAGAAGUAUUCAUUCCUGCAUGACUCCCAGACCUCCUUCUGCUUCUCAGACUCUAUUCCGACACCCUCCAACAUGGAGGAAACGCAACAGAAAUCCGUGAGUGGAUGCCGUCUCCCCUAGGCGGGGAUGGGGGAGACCUGUGGUCAGGGCUCCCGGGCAGCACAGCCACUGCCGGUCCUUCCCCUGCAGAAUCUAGAGCUGCUCCGCAUCUCCCUGCUGCUCAUCGAGUCGUGGCUGGAGCCCGUGCGGUUCCUCAGGAGUAUGUUCGCCAACAACCUGGUGUAUGACACCUCGGACAGCGAUGACUAUCACCUCCUAAAGGACCUAGAGGAAGGCAUCCAAACGCUGAUGGGGGUGAGGGUGGCGCCAGGGGUCGCCAAUCCUGGAACCCCACUGGCUUAGAGGGCUGGGGGAGAGAAACACUGCUGCCCUCUUUGUAGCAGUCAGGCGCUGACCCAAGAGAACUCACCUUAUUCUUCAUUUCGCCUGGUGAAUCCUCCAGGCCCUUCUCUACACCCUGAAGGGGAGGGAGGAAAAUGGAUGAAUGAGAGAGGGAGGGAACAGUGCCCAAGCGCUUGGCCUCUCCUUCUCUUCCUUCACUUUGCAGAGGCUGGAAGACGGCAGCCGCCGGACUGGGCAGAUCCUCAAGCAGACCUACAGCAAGUUUGACACAAACUCACACAACCAUGACGCACUGCUCAAGAACUACGGGCUGCUCUACUGCUUCAGGAAGGACAUGGACAAGGUCGAGACAUUCCUGCGCAUGGUGCAGUGCCGCUCUGUAGAGGGUAGCUGUGGCUUCUAGGUGCCCGCGUGGCAUCCUGUGACCGACCCCUCCCCAGUGCCUCUCCUGGCCCUGGAAGGUGCCACUCCAGUGCCCAUCAGCCUUGUCCUAAUAAAAUUAA